CAGCCCUGUAGGAGACACCUCCAGAGAAAGUAACAGCUCUCAAUUGAUUAGCUGAGGAGACCGAUUUUGUAAAUCACUACUUUUCUAACAACACUGGCACAGAUGGCCAAGCAUUCUCCCUUUUCUCAGAGCUGGUUUUCCAUCCCGGAAAGAGGUCUUACAUAUACAAAGUUACUCUAAUCAGUUGUCCAGAAUUAGCUUCUGUUACUUACAACUGUGAGUCCUGACUGAAAACAUAUUUCUUCCUUUGAAGAACUGUUACCUGUAACAGGCUAAGAAGAAUAUUAAGCUCGCCUUGGCGGGAAGAUCUGGCACAAAUGAAGUAUCUAUAAGGAGCAGCAGAGUCAAGGUGGUGAUCCUGUGGAUGAAUAACUGAAACCUGAUAUACUUGACAGCAGAAAAUAUAAAGCAAAUUGAAAAGGAGAGAGUGUGGAGAUAAAUAAGAAAAUGAAAGAACUGAUAAAGUCACUUGGAUUAAAAAACCUGGGAGUAA
ensembl:lncRNA novel transcript